CAGUCGCCGCGGGAAUACGAAGGGGGCUAGCGUUGCUCGGAAUCACUGGGCGUAAAGGGUGCGUAGGCGGGUCUUUAAGUCAGGGGUGAAAUCCUGGAGCUCAACUCCAGAACUGCCUUUGAUACUGAGGAUCUUGAGUUUGGGAGAGGUGAGUGGAACUGCGGGUGUAGAGGUGAAAUUCGUAGAUAUUCGCAAGAACACCAGUGGCGAAGGCGGCUCACUGGCCCGAUACUGACGCUGAGGCACGAAAGCGUGGGGAGCAAACAGGAUUAGAUACCCCUGUAGUCCCUGUCUCUUAUAU
rnacentral:rRNA from 1 species